GCCCUUGGCAAAGUGUAGAGCAUGAGACUCUUAAUCUUAGGGUCAUGGGUUCGAGCCCCAUGUUGGGCA